CCUGGUUGACCACAGACCACACCCCCACCUCACUGCCCACUGGUUGGCAGCCAGCCCUGUCCUCUCCCGGGGCUGGGCUCCCAGGGCUCUGGUUGUCAGUUAAGCAGCCCUGACAGCUGACAGCUUUCCGGAGCAGCCGGAGCCCAGUUAGCGUUCCUUCUCUCUUUUUUUUUUUCCUGCUCUUCCUUUCCCCUGGUGUUGUUGCAAGACUGGAAGCCUGACUGGAAUUUAAAGCAAGGCUUUGGGAUAAAAAUGUAUGCUAGCACCAAGCCGUGCUCUCCCAGCCUCCCAAUUCAGAUUGACAGCUGCCCACUUUCCGGGUCUGAGAACAGAACAACUGCCGAUUGUUAGAGGAAAGGUCUGGAGUACGAAGGUCAGAGAUGUGGGUCCACUCCCUCACCCUCCAAAGGGUGUGAUUUGCCACAGGAUGGCAGCAGCAUUCGACCCUGUGAAGUUCCUAUUGAGGACCCAGAGGAACAGGGACAGCAGGGCUCCAACUGCUGCAGCCCCACUCCAGCAGAACCCCGGACAGCUUCUGGAACUGCCUGGAGACCUGCUUCCGCAUCAGUGUUGGAGACUGCUGGUGACAGCCCUCUUCAGAAAUGUGGCCCUACUUUUCUACUUACUGAGGCUCAAAAUGGAAAGAAAAAGAGAAGAUUCUUCUUUCAUCCAGAGAGAGGAAGAAGAAGAAGAAAAAAAAAAAAAAAAACAACCACAAUCUUACCUAACAGCUCCAUCUCACUCCCGGGGAUGAUAGUGAUAAUUGUUUUAAUUAAUUCAAUUUCUAACUUCGGAGUAAUUUCAUUUCUUCCUUGACCGGAUGAUAAUGUCUCUGGUCAAUGAAGUGAAGUUUCACUAGAUAAUACCAGUCAGGGUCACUUGGUCAGAUCAGAAAAGUCCUUGCCCUCUUGGCAGGGGGUGGGGGGUGCAGGGUGGGGGCAUAGCCCAGAAAUGAG
rnacentral:lncRNA from 1 species